rnacentral:rRNA from 1 species
UCGAAACCUGCUUAGCAGAACGACCAGCGAACAUGUUUUCUACCUUGCGUGGGGAAGGGGUUGCUGGUUCUCCAGUCCCUCCCCAAUGCUGGGGGGCAAUCCCUUAGGUUGCUCUUUGGCACAAUAACGAACCCCGGCGCGUAUGCGCCAAGGUACAUAAACAAGAGUGUGUGCAUCCUUGCCCGGGCAUCCGGUGCAAUGAUGUAUCCCCCAAUCUAAGUCAUAAAACGACUCUCGGCAACGGAUAUCUCGGCUCUCGCAUCGAUGAAGAACGUAGCGAAAUGCGAUACUUGGUGUGAAUUGCAGAAUCCCGUGAACCAUCGAGUUUUUGAACGCAAGUUGCGCCCGAAGCCUUUUGGCCAGGGCACGUCUGCCUGGGCAUCACGCAUAGCGUCUCUCCCAACCCACCAAGUGUGGAAGGGAGAGGACGAUGGCCUCCCAUGCCUCACUGGGUAUGGAUGGCCUAAAUAAGGAGCCCUCGGUCACAAAAUGUUGCGGCGUUAGGUGGUACACAUGGCCUUUGCCUAGAAAGCAUCACGCCAGGCAUUGCGUGGCUUAUGUGGGCUCGAAGGACCCUUAUAAACCUUUGCGAUCCCAGGUCAGGUGGGAUUACC